rnacentral:tRNA from 1 species
GUCCCAGUAGCGCAAUGGAUAGCGCGUUGGACUUCUAUUCCAAAGGUCGUGGGUUCGAAUUCCACCUGAGAUG